GGGGCUCGCGGGCGGCGGCGGGGGAACCAGGAGGGCGCGCCGGGCAGCGGAUGAGGCGCGACAGCUGCGGCCCAGGGCACCCCCCCCUGGCAUCCCGAACCCUGCCCGGUCCCACCCGAAGGGGAGGAUGGAAACACCAGCUGCUAUCUGAGCCCCCCUGGAAGAUAUCAACCCUCCCGCUACACCACGCGGCGGUCCUGCGGAGGCCCCUGCUUCCGCCCCUCCACGUCUGUCUCCCAUAGCCGAGCCGCGUAGAAAAAGCCAGCGAUGGCGGAAAACCUGAGGAGGCUGGUCUCCAACGAAACUUUACGACGGUUGCAGGACAGGAUAGACUCCUGGGCGAAAGAGUACAACACAAACUCAUGUGAUCAGAAUCUAAAUUACUGCCUUGAAAUCAUUGAACAAGUUGCCAGAGUGCAGGGACAGCUCUUUGGAAUCCUCACUAUUGCAGCCCAAGAAGGAGGACAUAAUGAUGGUGUGGAAACAAUCAAGUCUCGCCUUUUGCCUUGGCUGGAGGCUUCUUUUACUGCUGCUUCCAUGGGAAAACCUGUUGACAGCAGGGUCCCCUCUCUACAGGACACAUUUGAAAGGGAGAGACUUAAAGGGAGUAGUCCUCGGGACCUUAAAGGGAGGAGUAGUCCCCGGGACCUUAAAGCGAGUAGUCCUCGAGACCUUAGAGCAAGUAGUCCUCGGGACCUACAACAACUAGACUCUGACUUGAACUCAACCCGUAACCAACUCAACCAGGUUAAAGACGAUCUUGCUGAAACGGGAAAGUCUCUCGAAGAAACCAAGAACAGAUCUGCCAUAUCCCUUUUGGCUGCAGAGGAGGAAAUAAAUCAGCUAAAAAAGCAGCUUAAAUCUCUUCAAGCCCAGGAGGAUGCUCGCCAUAGGAACUCAGAACCUAGGCGUACAGACCAGAGCAGAGAACAGAGCAGAGACCAGAUCAGACCUGAGCACCGCAGUUCCUUCAAGAGGGGCUCAGAGAGAAGGAGCUCUGAUCAGAGGAACUCGGAGCCACGCUCUGAGCAGAGGAACUCGGAGCCACGGACCUUGGAGCAGAGGUGCGCAGAGCAGCGGAACUUAGAGCAGCGGUGCGCAGAGCUGCGGAGCUUAGAGCAGCAGCGGAGCUUGGAGCAGCGGUGCGCAGAGCAGCGGAACGCAGAGGUGAUCUCUGACUAUGAGAAACAGCUCCGAAACCUGAAGGAUGAGAUUGCUGUCUUGUCUGCUGAAAAAGCUGGUCUUCAAGGAAGGGCACCCAGGAGCCGGUCUCCUAGCCCUGGCCCACGCAGCCGCAGCCACAGCCGCAGCCACAGCCACAGCCGGAGCCACAGCCGGAGCCACAGCCGGAACCACAGCCGGAGCCAGAGCCACAGCCGCAGCCAGAGCCGCAGCCGCAGCCACAGCCUCAGCCACAGCCCCAGCCACAGCCCCAGCCGGAGCAGGUCCAACAGCCCCAACAACAAAAUCGCCAAGAUCAGAAGCACGUCCCCAAACGGUGGUUCCAAAAUGUCCAAUGUGGCACGCAAAGCUGCUCUCCUGUCCCGAUUCAGCGACGCCUAUUCCCAGGCCCGCCUGGAUGCCCAGUGCUUGCUGCGGCGCUGCAUCGACAAAGCAGAGACAGUGCAGCGGAUCAUCUACAUCGCCACUGUGGAGGCAUUUCACGUGGCGAAAAUGGCAUUCAGACACUUCAAGAUCCGGGUGAGGAAGACAUUAACACCAAAUUAUGGAGGGUCGAAUGACUUUGAGAAUGCUGUCUCCGAAUAUAUCAUUUGCCAUCUUGAUCUGUAUGAUUCCGUUAGCAGUGUUAACGAUGUGAUCCGUGCCAUGAAUGUCAACCCCAAGAUCUCGUUCCCCCCUGAAGUUGACUUUUGCCUUCUCAGUGACUUUAUCCAGGAGAUUUGCUGCAUCGCCUUUGCCAUGCAGUCCUUAGAGCCACCCCUUGACAUUGCCUUUGGGGCGGAUGGAGAAGUUUUUAAUGACACCAAGUACCGCCGUAGCUAUGACUCGGAUUUCACCGCUCCUUUGGUCUAUUACCACGUAUGGCCUGCUCUCAUGGAGAAUGACUGCGUCAUUAUGAAGGGAGAAGCUGUCACCAGGAGAGGGGCUUUUGUACGGUGGCCUUGCAUAAUGACAGUUCAUCCCCAGUGUUUGAUUCACAAUGGAAUUCAGUGAGAGCUGUGAGUCGGUGUCGAAGCAGGAGUUUAAGUCCCAUUUGCCCCCGUAACCGCAUUGGUUUAAGCACGAUAUCUCGAAGUCGGAGUCCUUCUCCAAUAAGAUGUACAUUGCCAAGGUUUUAAAACCACCACCACGGUUGGUCCUAUGCCACCGCAUGUAGUGCAUCAUUGCAGCCACCUUUCCCCUGGGCCUCCUGCUGCCUGCCUUGUCCGCCUCUGACUUCAAUUAGCAUGAUGUGAACUGGCAUUCUGUGUAUCCCUCUACACACAGAGUUAAAUGUUUUGGCUUAGCGCAUCUGUAAUUUUAGAUAUAUUGCAUUUUAUUUUA